GGAUGUGAGGACAAUCUGGCUGCAACAUCUGUUACCACAUGGAUCGCCAGCGUUGAUUCGGCUGAUCUGGUUGGUUGGGUGGGUGUUCCUCCCUCACUGCUCCAUGUGUGUCUCUCCUGAAGCCCCGCACUUGGUCAAAUGGUUGAAGACGACCUUCCUAGCUAGAGGAGGACCAAUCUUCAGUCAUGGGUAUAUAAGUAGUUGUGCUUCCCUGUUAGAAUCUCCAAACUCCCAAGACACUCUUUUUAUUUUUAAGUUGAUAAAGUACUUUUCUUCUGAUACUUUGCUUCAUGUUAAUGUAAUAUUAAUA
rnacentral:snRNA from 1 species